UACGGAGGGUGCGAGCGUUGUCCGGAAUCACUGGGCGUAAAGGGCGCGUAGGUGGCACGGUAAGCGUGUGGUGAAAGCUCGGGGCUCAACCCCGAGUCGGCCAUGCGAACUGCUGCGCUUGAGCACUGUAGAGGCAGACGGAAUUCCGGGUGUAGCGGUGGAAUGCGUAGAGAUCCGGAAGAACACCGGUGGCGAAGGCGGUCUGCUGGGCAGUAGCUGACACUGAGGCGCGACAGCGUGGGGAGCAAACAGGAUUAGAAACCCCAGUAGUCC
rnacentral:rRNA from 1 species